rnacentral:tRNA from 1 species
GGGUAGGAAGCACUAUUAGUGCCUCGAUUUCGGCUCGAGAGGAGGAAUUUUUUUCCCUUACCUU